ACAAAUACUAUCUGUAGACAGGUCUGUUAAAUCAUUCCUUUACUCAGAGACAGCAAGUCCAGCAUGGGCCUAUCGCUGGAUGAUUGACUCCAGAGACGACUUCACAGAGGAGCGCCUGGCCAAGCUGCAGGACCCAUUCUCUCUAUACCGCUGCCACACCAUCAUGAACUGCACAAGGACCUGUCCUAAGGGUCUGAAUCCAGGGAAAGCUAUUGCGGAGAUCAAGAAAAUGAUGGCAACCUAUAAGGAGAAGAAAGCUUCAGUUUAACUGUUUCCAUGCUAAACAUGAUUUAUAACCAGCUCAGAGCUGAACAUAAUUUAUAUCUAAUUUGAGUUCCUUUAAAGAUCUUGGUUUUCCAUGAAUACAGCAUGUAUAAUAAAAAUUUUAAGAAAUAAA
rnacentral:sRNA from 1 species